rnacentral:lncRNA from 1 species
CAUUCCCAAGAGUUUAUUACAAAUUAUUAUAACCCAGAAUAAAUAUAAAAGAAUACAUUAGAAAUUAAAAAAGAACAACCAAGGCGAGUCUACUUCAGACUUGAUGUUUGAAAUAUGAGGUAAACCAACUCCAAAGAUCAUGGUCCAAAGUCUUUCUCCCAUUUGAUUGUGUCAAAGUCCCUGAGAGCCUUAAAGGGAAUCCAGGCAAUGCUCGCACCCAAAUAUAUUAUUAGAUUGGAACAAGUGCAGUAUAGAAGGGCCAGCCCUCAAGUGUCCAAGUGCAGAGGGAACUCAAACGGUCCCAAGGCAAGGCUCACAAGAAGUUGGGGGGCAGAACUUAAAGAAUAAGAAAGUGUGCAAGUGCAUAAUAGAGUGCUAGAAGGGAAAAAGGAAAGGGAAUCAAUUAUAGAAUUAACAAUUUCACACAAAAAAAUAUUCAGGGAGGUUGGGACUAAUUGCAUAUAGCCUUUAUGCUUGGACAUUAAUUGAUUCUGGGCAUGCACAGCAAUAAAGGGAUGUUGAUAUGCUCAUAAAACCAAUUAGAAUAUACAUCAGACAAUGAUAACAUGAGGUUAUGAUCCCAGGGCACCAAGUUUGAGUCAUGAAUAACAAUAUUUUAAUGUUGGCAUGCCUCAAACAACCAUUACUGUCAAACAACUUAGAAUACACAAUAGAGGCAAAACAGGUAGAAGAAAAAUGCUAACAUAUACUGAAUCAAACACAUAAGUAGGCAGUCAGGAGGGAAAAUUUGUUAAAUAAAUGCAUAUUAUGAUGCUAAAUCAUAAUUAGAACAUACUAGUUUAAGGAAAGCAAAUAGAGAAAGAAGCAGGUAGCAGGACUUGCAAACAUGCCAGAGUACAAGUAGCAAGAAAGAGUAUUUUUGAGUGUAAGUGUAAGUUCAAAACACCCACGAGUGAUUGUCUAGAAAACUAAGAGUCUUCGCGUAUUUAUAAUGUAAAGAAUAGGCAAAAAUAAGGUAAGAAAAUAAUUAUGGAACUGAAUAUCAAUUAAGAAUAAAAAAUUCCUUUAAUUAAUGAAUUCAGAUUCAAAUGGUAAAACUAUUUAAGGAAAGAAAUCAAAUAACGUCUUGUGCAAAGUAGACUAUUAGGGGUAACUACAUAAGGGUUUUAAUUAGGGGAAGAAUUUUGAAAUACACGGUUAAAACAAAAUAAGGUAAGAAUCAAUUAGUACGUAGUAAAUCAAGGAGUCCAGUAUUCUCAGUUACUGGUUUUUGAGUAAACCAAGUCAGAAAGGUUGAGGAAAGUUUUCAAAUUAAACCAAGUAAUAGGGAAAUCAACAAACAAGAAAACAAAUCAACCAGACUUACACAAAGGAAGUCAGAAAUUAUUCAAAAAAUUGAAAGUCAUUUAGAGAGGAAGUUCAGCACAUAUAAAGAGUAUACAAGUAUUGGGCAUGCAAGGCUGAAUUUAAUACAAAGAAAAACAUUGCAUAGUAGCAACCACAAGUAUUCACAUAGGUCGAUUUCAGUUACUCAGUAACAGAGAAGAGAAAGUAUCAGAUAGCAUGCCAAAGGGUCAAGUAAAAGUCUUAUAGAUUUUAACAAAGUCAGAAUUAUGAAGAAACAAAAUUGAAGCAAUGAUUUUGAAACUUAGUGAAGCAAUAGAUGAAACAAAUCCAAGAACUCAAAUAAGUCCAAAAGGUUAGGGUCUUUGAAAUCAAGCAAGUUCAGAGAUGAAGCACAAGUAAAUCACAUAGCUAAUGGUCUCAAAAGUCGGAUGAAACCUAAAAUCUAGGGUUCUGCCAUCAAUCGAGUGUAGAGAUAAAAGAACAAGUAAAUCAAGAAGCAAUACUAACAAAAUAAGUUCAGAAAUCUAAAAAGAGAACUAAGACUCUUAGCAUGCACAUUCUAGUAGAAGAAUAUAAGAAACCAGUAGAAACUCAACAAAAGAAACACGGUAGAAGAAUCAACAUAAGAAACACCGUAGAACAUGCUAUACUAUAGUUCAGAAGAAACCCAAAGGCUGAGAAAGGCUUGGAAAUCAUAGAUCUAGUAGGAGAGGUCAAGAUCGGGCUCGAAUAAUCAUGGCUGGCCGGAGCAAGGUCAGAAACAGCCAUAGGACUCGAGAACAAAGUCUGGCCCCAACUUUCUUCAAGGUUUGACCUUGAAACCAUAGUAACCAGACAUGUAGGAGUCGUAGGAAGCAAGUACAGGCUCUUAAUGGCUUUGGAAGCCAUGGAUUCAGGCGACUUUAGUAUGGAGGUGGACGGAGGCGGCUAGGGUUUCUGAGGGAGCUUGAGAGAGAAUUUGGGAGGAGGGGGUUCAAGGGCGGAGUUUGGUGAUGAUUGAGUAGGGUUUGGG